ACUGAAGAACAGUGGGUAAUUGGUUGUGUUUAUAGUAAUUUGUUAUCUUCUGCAUUAACAAAUUUUCUUAACUAAUUUAACAAGUCAGAAAGCAUCUAAAAAUGUGUUGGAAUUACUGAAAAACAGUGGGUAAUUAGUUGUGUUCGCCACAACGAGCACUAGGACUUUGAUUGUGUUCGCCAUAACGAGCACUAGGACAUUGAAUCUUUGACUGCGGCUGGAAAUAUUUCAGAGGUUGUCAAAGUGUCAACCAUUGCUUUUUCUUAAAAACCCCAAUACCCCAAGUUAUGAACCAAUAGGAUACUUUGAAAAUGUAAGUCUAUUUCCACCCGUUAUAUAGGGUACUUUUCCAAAUCCAGCUACUCAGAGAAAGAUCUUCCACUGUAUUGUUGAACCAAGAAAUCUCUCCAUUGUCUUGUUACAUGUAGAACAUAUUUGACCAUAAGAAAAGAUCAAUAGCAUACAAUUCAUAAAUCUGUUCCUUGCUUAGCACACCACUAUGUAGUAAAAUAACCACAAAGUGAGAGAAUAAUUCUAGGAUGCUGUGAGAGAUAACAGAGUGCUGUGUCAACCCGUUUCUGACCCUUUUGGACAAGAAUUAAAUGAGCUCAGAAAUUAGAACUGAUUCUCAAACACUAGCAUCCUAUUCAUGUAAAGCUUCUUGCUAGUUGAACUCAAAGUAAAACAUGUUGAUUCGUGUAUGCAUGCCCAACUGAAUCUGGACUCCUAUUCUUUCUUGUUUAAAAACCCUAAUACAUAACAUACGUACAUGCAUAGAUACAUACAUACACACAAAAUGGUUAAUAUUAAAGCCUAACAAACUCUUUGUGCUUUUUGCUUGAGAAUCCAGGUUGUAGCAUCCCGCCCCCACCCCCUCCAUAAAAAAAAAACCCAUAGUGAAUCAAAACAAGGUGAAAUGGUAGAUUAAUAUAGUUGCUUCCUCAUCUAAUAUGGAACGAAUGUUGCUACGGUUACAAUUUUUUUUUACAAAAUGUUGUGGCAUAGCAUAAUUAGUGGAUGAUCCUCCAUAUAUGGGUGGACCUAGUGAUAAUAACCAACCACAACCAGCCACAUCAUUUUGUAAGAAACUUUUUGUACGACUCUUUUGUCAUCAAAGUACUAUUGAUAUGGAACUAGGUGAGGUUCUCUAACUUCACAAGAACUCAGGAUCAAGAAAUUCUAACUGAAAGAAAGUUGUGUUUAACUUGGUAACGAGCUGCAUUUAAACUUUUCAGAUAUGGGGAUUGCUAGAAAUUUCCUAGGAGAGAAUAGGAGAAAAUCAAAACAAAAAAAGAAGACAGAAUCAUAAUAAGUACUUACUUUUCUUUAUGUUUUGGUACAUAUUUCUAACCAUGCAUCCUGCUCCUCCUAUACUUCCAUAUCUGUUUCUGGUUUCAAUUCUAUUCCACUUUACAUGAUAUUCGGUAGCAGAUAUAUGGUACCAGAGAGUUCUCUAUUCAUAGUAAAUCUGAUGUGGUCUUCAUCCAAACUACCACCUCUA
rnacentral:lncRNA from 1 species